GAGAAGACUACGCACAGUAUACUGCUGAUUCCCUACAACCAAAAAGACCACAAAUCUUCACAUUAAUGCGACUUUUGCAUAAAUCAUCUUUGGAAAGAUACAGAUCUCAGCUUCCUGCUGCAUCUGCCAGGCCUGCUUGCUGCUAUGCUCCCCUACUGUGAUGGUGAUGGGCUCAUCCCUCUGGAACUCAGAUUCUUCAUGGUUAGUCAUGACCUGUCACAAGACCCUCACUGGUGGGAUUCCAACGUGAAGGGAACUUCUUC